CCGCCGCGCCACCCCUUGCCCCGCCCACCACCCCCAACCCAUCCCAAUCCCACUGUCGUACGUCGCCGUCGUCACCAUCCACCUCGACCCCGUCUCCCCUCACUCCCUUCUCGGCCAUAAAGGGUGCUGCGAUGGCCGCCGCGUAGCCCCCCGCGCGCGGGCAGCCGGAUGGCCGACGGCGGCGACGGGGAGGGCGCGGGCGAGAGCUGCUGGCUGGCCCCCGCCGCCGCCGCCUCCGUACACGGUGGCGGCGGCGAUGGGGUGCUGCUGUACGACGUCAGGAGGGAGAUCUACGACCGCCUGCGGGCCGUCGGCAACCAGGAGGCGCUCGCCGACCCCUUCUUCGACCGCGUGCUCGAGGACCACUACUAACGCCUCCUGCCAAGACGUUAGCUUGGAAGAACUGGAGGUGACUUUUGCUCCCUCAUCCAUGGGUGGAAUUUUCUGUGAGCGAAUCCGCAUAUCUAAAAUACCAAGGUGGCAGUUUCAAAGCUAUGCAAAUCAAAUACAUGUUAGAAUGAAUGUCUCGCAUUCAUUGCCAGAAAAGUUCCAUUGGAAGAUACAGAUUUACUUUCAUGGGAAUGUUUCUACCGGUUUGUGCCAAUGUGAGAUGGGUGAAUGGCAAGCUCUGCACGGUGGCACGUGGAAUGCUGUGAAGUCUCCCUACAACAGCAGAUAUGUUGAUGUGAAACUUGCUCAUAAGAAAUCUGUUGUCUUCAGCCUUUCCAUUCAGGAAGAGCUUCACAAGUGGCGUUUAGCUUGCCUUGGUAUUCGAUUUGUUCUGCUAUUCCUGUCACCCAUCGUUAGUAAAUGGGCACCUUUUUACUAUGGCAGCUCUAUGGCUCUUGGAAUCCUACUUGUGGUGCUGACUGUCAUUUUCCAGGGUGUCGAAGCUCGCUAGCGGCAUUCCGGUCGCCGUAGUGCGCCGGCGGUGGGGGCAUGGAGGAGUUACCGAGGGACGGCGAGGCGGCAAAGGGCUGGUGCCGGAGCCCUCUAGCGGCAUCCCGAUCGCCGUAGUGCACCGGCCGUGGGGGCAUGGAGGAGUUGCGGCGGUGGCGAGGGACGAAGCCUUCACUGAGGGAUGGCGAGGCAGUUGAGGAGGCGGCAGAGGGCUGGUGCCGGUGCUCGCUGGUAUAGUCCUUCACAGGGGGACGACGAAGGACAUGAGGGGAGGGGAUUCAAAUACAAAAUUCAUGAUCCGAAAAUCGACAAUCUAACCUGGUGCAACGCACGGGCACUUUUACUAGUAUAUAUAUAUAUAUAUAUAUAUAUAUAUAUAUAUAUAUAUAUAUAUAUAUAUGACAAGCACCGUGCACGAAAAGCUGUAGGAGUCGGCGUUCUUCCCCAUCAGCCUUGAGGUUGGCUAGGGUUAUAUAGAGACCAGCUGGGGACCUUCUCAACUUGCAAGAUAGCCAACAUAGGCGGCGAUGGUGAGUACACUCUGCAUAGAAACCACGAUUAAAAAAGCUCCUACCUAGCGGUACGAUUCCACACUGAUGCUCCUCCUUACUAUGUGACAUAAUCUCCCAAAUGUAAUCAUGUCAACACAUUUAUAAUAUUUGGCCAAAGCUCAGCCAAGAUUGUGUUCUUUCUUAAACUCUUCCUUUUCUUUCGAACUAUUCUUUCAUGUAUUCAUCCAUUGAUGUUUCUGUACUUUAUUGAAAGAUGUAUGGUAUUUAGUUUCCAGCUA